GCAGUUGGGAAGCUAAAGCAAUUUGGCCCUACAAUCACCAAAGCUAAGCAAAUGACAAUUUUUCUUUAUGCACAUCAUAAAACAUUGUCCUUGAUGAGGUCUUUCACGAAAAAAAGAGACAUUGUUAGACCGGGGGUGACACGAUUUGCUUCGGCAUUUCUUACAUUGCAAAGUUUGGUUUCUAAAAAGAAAGAACUAAGGGCAAUGGUUUGUAGUGAUGAAUGGGAAGCAUGCAAGCACACAAAAGCGGUGAAAGGCAAGGCGGCCAACGCCACAAUAGUGAGUAGGGGCUUUUGGAAAAAUGUAUCACUUUGCAUCAAGGUUUUUGAGCCAUUGGUGAAGGUGCUUCGGUUGGCUGAUGGGGAUGGUCCAUCUAUGGCCUCUAUGUAUGGAGAACUAAUAAGUGCAAAAAGGGAAAUCAAGGUUGCUGUUGAAAAUUCAAAAAAAGACUAUUUGGUGAUCACUAAUUUCAUGAAUACCAAGAUGAGUGGGAGGCUGGAUUCUCCAUUGCACAUGGCAGCAUACAUCUUGAAUCCCAAAUAUAGUUAUGCUGACCCGAGCAUCUUUACGGAUGUGGAGGUAGUGGUUGCGCUUAUGGAAGUCAUGGAGACAUUUUAU
rnacentral:rRNA from 1 species